rnacentral:lncRNA from 1 species
AUCUUGAUAAACACUGCAGCUCCCAGUUGACUGUAGGUAAAGCUCAGCAUGCCAGAGUCAAUGAUUGGUUGAAAAUUUUGUGGGGGAAAGAGGAGCUAGAAUUAUGGAAAUGAUUAUUUCUUGGUUCUCACUUCAGGCCUUGAGAGGAUAUAUAUAUAAAAUGUAUCUCCUGUUGGGCAUGGCACUCUUAAAUAUUUAAUGAAAAUUUCAGUAAUUGUUUACUGGAUGAGACAGACUUUCCAACAUUU